AUGUGGCAAGGCGCUGCGGCGCAUGGUGUGGCAACGUUGUGCAGUGCGCGUUGGCGUGGUUCAAGCGCUCUGGUCGGGGCGCUGGUGAGGCGCGAUGCGGAUGCGGUAGGGCGCGCAUCUUGGACUGGAGGCUUGGGGCGGACUCCUUCGGCCUCUCUGCAUCAAGUCCGGCCUGGUGGCGGCUCUAGGCAACAACCUGCAGACGAGGCGUCUCUUCCUGAUGGUGAUGAGGUCGCAGUUUUGUGCUGUCGAGGUGGAGGACGUGUGGAGAUGUAG
rnacentral:rRNA from 1 species